AUAGUGAUAUUACUGGGGAAGCUAGUGGAACUCAAGCGGAAGUUGGAUUGUUUGUUAGGGGCAACUCCGACUCCAUAUCCAGAUACAAUAAUUUACAGUGUCGCUAUUGUCAUAAGAAAGGUCACAUUAUCUCCGAAUGCUAUAAGCUGAAAAAUAAAGAAAAGCAUAAGGAAAGAAAAAAUGAGCACAAAAAUACUGACACCGCCGAAGCUAGUGUAGCAACUGAUGAGAUUGAGGGAACUAUAUUUUUAGCAACUGAAACUAGUUUCAGAUUAGACAAUGAGUGGAUUUUAGAUUCCGGUUGUUCAUAUCAUAUGUGUCCUAGAAGGGACUUGUUUUCUACAUAUGAUUCAGUUGCAGAUGGAGUUGUCCAAUUGGGUAACAAUGUUACUUGUAACGUUAUUGGCAAAGGUAUAAUUCGGGUCAGAAUGCAUGAUGAUGUGGUGAGAACUUUCACCGAUAUUAGAUAUGUUCCUGAGUUGAAGAAAAAUCUCAUAUCUUUGGGCACUUUAGAAUCCCUUGGGUGCAAAUUCACUGGUGAAGGUGGAGUUCUGUAAAUUUUUCAAGGUGCUCGUAUGAUCAUGAAAGCACACAGAUCUGGUUCGUUGUAUACUUUAUUGGGCUCCACUGUUAUAGGCCCUACUUACAGUUUCGGUAUCAGACAAUUUGUCUGAUUUUAAUGGCAUUAAAUUUUGACAUAUGCCCAUUGGGGCUUUUGCGGAGAAAGUGGCGCAAAUUUACUAUAUCAGCCAAAAUUAGGCCAAGGUGGAGAUUUGUAAUAUGGCCAAAUUUUUAUGACAUUUGCCAUGACAUAAUAUCCAUUAUAACAAAUUUAUGGUUCAUGACAUUUGCCAUGACAUAAUAUCCAUUAUAACAAAUUUGUGGAUCAUGACAUUUGCCAUGACAUAAUAUCCAUUAUUAGGCUAAAGAUUUCUUGCUAUAAAUAGAGGAGUUUUUCCUCAUUUGUAGACACACCAACAAGACUUGUCUUCAAUUCUUGUUUCUUCCUUUCUUCCUUUAUUAAGAGUAUUUUGUAUGAGAGUUAGUGUUGGGAAGCACUUGUGUGAACCUGACUCGAUAUCAAUAAAGUCAAAUCUGUGGUCAAACUUUGAAAACCUUUAGCCUUUAGAUUUCUAGUUUUCGUUAAAUGGCGAUAAUUUGAGCUAGGGACCUCCAAAUUCAAUUCCGGGCAUACGCCCAAGUCCCAAAUCACGAUACGGACCUAGGGACUAUCAAAAUACUGAUCCAGGUCUGUUUGCUCAAAUGUUGACUGAAGUCAACUCAAUUGAGUUUCAAAACUCUAUUUCACAUUUUAAUCCAUUUUUCACAUAAAAACUUUUCGAAAAAUUAUACGGAAUACGCACGCAAGUCGAGGAAUGAUGAAUAGUACUUUCGAGGUCUUAGAACACAAUAAUAAAUGUUUAAAUUAAAGAUGUCAUUUUGGGUCAUCACACAACGGUUUUAAAUAAAGGAAUUAUUAACAUGCCUAUCUUAUGUGACUUUUACGUUAAAACUCUCAUCUUUUCAUCUGGUAUUUUACUAUUCUAAAUAGUUGUCAUAUUUUACUUUAAUUGAUUUUUUAACUUAAAUUCCUCACCCUAUCUAAUGAUUUUAUCUUACUUAUAAAUCGUUGUUAUGUUUUUAUUUAACAAACUCUAAAUUUAAUUCAGUGGUUAUCCAGUGCUUUACUUUAAUUGAAAAUGAUAUUUUCUUCACUCAAAUAAUUUCUAAAAUAAACUCAUUAUCCUCAAUUGAUUUUCUACUUUAUACCAGGUUAUUAUUAUGCCUUAAUGUAUAAGAUUAAAUCUCCUGGAUAUUUUAAAGUAGUAUUUGAUACAUAUACAAGGUACAUGGUAGCACGUGAAUUUUGCCGUGCGAAAGUGAUUUGGAAAAUAUGGGCACAAGUUGACAUGUGUAUAAAGUUUGAAAGUUGUGACUUAUGAUCUGAGAUUACGAGAUUUGGUAUAUGGGGUAAUUCUUAUUGAAAUUCGUGCAUUAGGAAUGAUUUGAUUGAUUGAGUUGUCAUCGGGUUCCCUUACUUGAACCCAUUCAUAUUUCAUAUGUACCUCGACUAUAUUAUUUCUUAAUAACUUGGUUGUUUCUCGUUGCCAUCCGUGCUCUCCUUAUUUUCACUGUUGAUUGUAAUUUGAAAUCUUUCUGCUAUUGGCUUUAUAUUGGUAUUCUUUCCUUGUUAGCUUUAUGUCAUAUCUUGCAUAGGUUUAUAUGUCCGGUAGGUGUCUUGACCUGGCCUCGUCAUUACUCUACCGACGUUAGGCUUGAUACUUAAUGGGUACCACUAUGGUGUACUCAUGCUACGCUCCUGCACAUUUUUGUGCAGAUCCAGGUAUUUCGGAUUGAGUUGGUUUUGAGACUUAUACUUGUACGGCUGGAGACUUCAAGGUACAUAUGCUAGACGUUCGUAGGCUCCAAAGUCACCUUCUGUUGCACUUUAUUUCCAUUGUUUCCUAUUAUUCUGGGACAGUGGGGUGUAUUGUUAUUUCUAGAGACUCUUAGAAUAGCUUAUGACUUGUACUACCGGUUUUGGGAUAUUGUAUCAUGUAGAGAUUGUUGGCUUAUUAUAGAAACUUCUGUUGCAUGCUUAAUAGUUAAUUGGUUAAAAAAAAUCUAUUAUUUAAUCAACAAGUGUUAGGCUUACCUAAUCUUAGAGACUAGGUGCCAUCACAAUAUCCUAUGGAGGAAAAUUGGGGUCGUGACACCCAAACUUGAGAUACACCCAAUUUGAGGCUUUAUACAAAUGUAAAAGUUAAAUCCAUUAGUUAUCCAUUUUCUAAGUGGAUAAUAUGGUUCUUAUCCAUAUUUAAUUUUUUUUAGAAAGUUCAUUAUCCAACCCAUAUUUUAAUGGAUAAUAUGUGUGGAUAACUAUUUUCUUUUAACUAUUUUGCCACCACUAUGUAAUAGUAACUUUCUUUCCACCACUAUGUAAUAGUAACUUUCUUAUACUAACAGUGUAAUUUAAGUAUUUAACAUAUUGUAAUACAUUACUUACUAUGUAUUUAGGUUAUAAAUUAGUUGUAUUAAAUAAAGCUACAUGUAAUUAAUUUAUAAGUGGCUUAAUUUUUUUUACACCGUCAAUAUAUAGAUUUUAAACUCUUUUUACUUGGUUUAAGGUAGAGACUGAUCCAAGAAUUUAGAUUAAUGUAUUUAGGAGCCGAUUUGGUUGUUGUAUUUGAGUAAUUAAUCUCAGUUUAUAGAUCUGCAUAUGAUAAUAAAGUUUGGUUAUGGUUGACUGUGUAAAAAAAAUUAACCGUCAAAUAAUUAAUGUAGUAUCUGAUUAGUGGUAUGAAAAAAUAUUAAUAUUAAAUUAUUCGAUAAUUUAUAUAUUAUUUUAUGCUAGAUAAAUAUGGAUUACUCAUUACUUCUUGAAAUGAAUGACGACCUUUUCUCUCUUUUAAGAUUUGGUUUAAGUUAAAGAUUAUAUUGAUAAAAGUUUUUAGGGGAAGUGCGCAUAUAUUCGAUUUUGGAGCCAUAAAUGAAGCCAUGCCCGCCGUAUACAAAUUUGCAAGUUUACUCACUUUUGAAUACGAUUCUGAAGUUUUAAAUUUGUCUGAAGUUGGGAGGUGGGCUGAAGUUCAAGGCAUUUUUGCAUGAACUUAAGGUAAAUAUGGUUGAAGUUCAGCAAUUUUUCACUUGAAAUUUAGUCCCUUUUUUCAUGCGUUAGUCGUUUGCUUGAAUAAAUUCUUGCAAAGAAAUUUUUUGUUCUUAUUUCUGAUAAUAUUUAUGUCUAAAGUUAAGUUUGUCAAAGACUAACUUGAGACAUACAUGUCUGAAGUUGUCUUUAUAGUAUACAAGAGAAAGAAAAAGAAAAGUACUCGAUUUAAGUUUAGAAUCGAUCAAUCAUAUUUUACCAAACUUAAUUUAAUGGAGUAAUUUAAGUGUGAGGUUUUUUUUUUAUAUAUUUUGUCAUUUUAUGUGUUUUAUGUAGAGCUUGAGUUGAGAACAGUGUGUGCAACUGCAGCAAUUGUUGAAACUUGAAACCCUACAUCCAACUCAAAAAGGUGUGCGGUUAGUGAAUAUUUCAUAGGGUAGACAAUAAAGCACAUUGCUGUUGGAUUAAUAAUUGCCCACUCAUAUGAAAUCCAGCAAAGCACACUUAUAAUUAACUAGUAAUAAAUGAUUUCGAGAAUAUUGCUGUUGGCUCUCACAAAAUUUAAAAGUAUAUCACAUUUAAUUAUAUGGGUCAUAAAUUAUUCAUUGUUAGUGUAAUAUGGCCAAAUUUUCAUGACAUUUGCCAUGAUAUAAUAUCCAUUAUAACAAAUUUGUAGUUCAUGACAUUUGCCAUGACAUAAUAUCCAUUAUAACAAAUUUAUGGACCAUGACAUUUGCCAUGACAUAAUAUCCAUUAUUAGGCUAAGAAUUUCUUGCUAUAAAUAGAGGAGUUUCUCCUCAUUUGUAGACACACCAACAAGACUUGUCUUCAAUUCUUGUUUCUUACUUUCUUCCUUUAUUAAGAGUAUUUUGUAUGAGAGUUAGUGUUGGGAAGCACUUGUGUGAACCCUUUCUUUGGAGUGAUCUUGUGAGGUUAUUCUCUUAGGGUAUUUGGGAUUAAUUAGAGUGUUUACUCUAAUUUUAUACUCUCUUUUGCACUCUUAUUGUUAUAGUGAAAUUGCCCCUCUCCGCUUGUGGACGUAGGUCACUUUGACCGAACCACGUUAAAUUUGUGUCUUCUUUAUCUACUUUAAUUGUCGUUGUUAUCAACUUCCAUUGUCUUUGUUAUUGUCAUUAUACCGUUGUUUGGCUAAAUUCCGCACUACCCGGGUUCCCGAUCCUAACAAAUUGGUAUCAGAGCCAGAUCUAACCGGGUUAGUUUCAAUAUCCAAAAUGACUCUAACAAAGACCUAUAUUGAGAAAUUUGACCGAAGGGAAUGUGGCAAUUAAAGAUGGAAGCUAUCCUAAUUCAGGAUGGCUUAGACUUGGCGUUGCAAGGAAACGAGAAGAAGCCGGAUAAAAUGACGGACGAGGAGUUUGCCAUCAUAGACAAAAAGGCAAAAGCAGGUAUCAUUUUAAAUCUCUCAAAUGAGGUUUUACGUGAAGUUUCUGUAGAAACCACAGCUAAAGGCAUGUGGGAAAAAUUGAAAACCUUAUAUAUGAAGAGGACGGUGGAAAAUAGACUUUACCUGAAGCAGAAGCUUUAUACAAUUCGUAUGGGUGAAGAUACCUCUAUUCUCUCUCAUCUUGACACAUUUGAUUCCAUUCUUAUGGAUUUGAGUAAUAUAGAUGCUGAAAUUAAAGAUGAAGAUCAAGCCGUGUUACUGCUUUGUUCUCUACCCGC
rnacentral:lncRNA from 1 species